rnacentral:rRNA from 1 species
AGGAGAGUUUGAUCCUGGCUCAGGACGAACGCUGGCGGCGUGCUUAACACAUGCAAGUCGAACGGAGUAAGACGCUGGAAUGAGAGCAGCUUGCUGAAGGAUUUCCUUGUUUUACUUAGUGGCGGACGGGUGAGUAACGCGUGAGUAACCUGCCCUCGAGUGGGGAAUAACGUUCUGAAAAGAACGCUAAUACCGCAUAAUGUAUCAUGACCGCAUGAUCGGGAUACCAAAGAUUUAUCGCUCGAGGAUGGACUCGCGUCCGAUUAGCUAGUUGGUGAGGUAACGGCUCACCAAGGCGACGAUCGGUAGCCGGACUGAGAGGUUGAACGGCCACAUUGGGACUGAGACACGGCCCAGACUCCUACGGGAGGCAGCAGUGGGGGAUAUUGCGCAAUGGGGGAAACCCUGACGCAGCAACGCCGCGUGGAGGAUGACGGUUUUCGGAUUGUAAACUCCUUUUAUAAGGGACGAACUAAGACGGUACCUUAUGAAUAAGCUCCGGCUAACUACGUGCCAGCAGCCGCGGUAAUACGUAGGGAGCAAGCGUUGUCCGGAUUUACUGGGUGUAAAGGGUGCGUAGGCGGCUUGGUAAGUCAGGUGUGAAAUCCAUGGGCUCAACCCAUGAACUGCACUUGAAACUAUCGAGCUUGAGUGAAGUAGAGGCAGGCGGAAUUCCCUGUGUAGCGGUGAAAUGCGUAGAGAUAGGGAGGAACACCAGUGGCGAAGGCGGCCUGCUGGGCUUUAACUGACGCUGAGGCACGAAAGCGUGGGUAGCAAACAGGAUUAGAUACCCUGGUAGUCCCCU